rnacentral:lncRNA from 1 species
AAAAACCCCAAUCCUUGAAAUCCAUUCUCGAUCCGUUGCCAAUGAACACAGAAAAUUGAGGUUCAUUUGCUUGAAAUGGUGCUGGGUUGGUAAUAGUAAUAUAUUUAAUCUUUUUAAUAAAAAUAUAUUUUGAAAUGAAAAAUAAAAAUAAAAACAGUUGGCGUAAUCUAAUCCAUUUAAGAUUGGACUAAAAACCUUAAUGUUU